rnacentral:rRNA from 1 species
CCUACGGGAGGCUGCAGUCGAGAAUCAUUCACCCUGGGGGAAACCCUGAUGGUGCGACGCCGCGUGGGGGAAUGAAGGUCUUCGGAUUGUAAACCCCUGUCAUGUGGGAGCAAAUUAAAAAGAUAGUACCACAAGAGGAAGAGAUGGCUAACUCUGUGCCAGCAGCCGCGGUAAUACAGAGGUCUCAAGCGUUGUUCGGAAUCACUGGGCGUAAAGGGUGCGUAGGCUGUUUCGUAAGUCGUGUGUGAAAGGCGCGGGCUCAACCCGCGGACGGCACAUGAUACUGCGAGACUAGAGUAAUGGAGGGGGAACCGGAAUUCUCGGUGUAGCAGUGAAAUGCGUAGAUAUCGAGAAGAACACUCGUGGCGAAGGCGGGUUCCUGGACAUUAACUGACGCUGAGGCACGAAGGCCAGGGGAGCGAAAGGGAUUAGAUACCCGUGUAGUC